ACCUAGUUUUCUAGAAGUAACUGGUGUCUGCCCUAGUUUUCUAGAACCAACUUAGUUCUGACCUAGUUUUCCAAAACCAACUGGUGUCUGACCUAGUGUUCUCGAACCAAGUGUUGAGUUUUUACUGACCGUUUUUGUACAAUCUUGCUAAGUAUUCUUUUAUAUUUUAAAGCUUAAUGGUGAUUUUACAUUUAACGUAUUUUUUUUACAAUUGCUACUCUUGUUACUUGUUAUUUAUGAUCAGGGUUUCUCUCAGCACUGAAGGAAUUACUUCUGGUGGCUUGAGAAAAUAUUCUGGCAUUUAUCAUUUUCAUUUCUUUAUGUCAAUUAUAAUUUUCUGUUAUCUCUUAAAGAUAUGUAAUAGUUUGUCAUAAUAUAAAAAAACAACCAUUUGUGAAAACGUUAAAAACUUGGGUAAAAUACGUCAAUUUCUUGAUUUAUGAGCAAUUGUGUGAAUUAUAAAAAAAGUUAUCAGAAAAAUGAAUACAAUUGUCCACACAAGUAAUUCCACUUGUUGAUGUGUUUUAGAAAAGCGCCUUAUUGAACUUUAUGUACAUUUUUUAACAUUCUUAAUAUUCAGAGUGUUGAUUAUACUAGAGUAAAAGAUAGAAUCUGAAUACAUUCUUAGAACAUUUUGAACUACUUGGUCUUAUAGAUUUUGUUUAAAUAAAAUCUAGCAGUGGGUCUAAUUUAAUGUGAUUACAAUUUAAAAUUAUUUAUUUUAAUGAUGUACAAAAAAAAAUCAUAUGCAAUAUUAUUUGGUGGAGAGCUAGUUUCAUUUUCUUUUGCUCUAACUAUUUUUCUUUUUUCUUCAUUUUAGGCUGUUACAUUUUAUUCUUUAUAUUUUGUUUUAUGCCUGUGUUAAUAUAGGUGCUGACAUCAUUAUAUAAACAUUAAAAGUGCCCUUGAAGCUUUCAUGAUGCCCCUUACAUGCUCAUGAUGUAAUUGAUUCGUUAGCAGCCUGUAAAGUCUCUGCCUACAUGUUUAUGAUUUAGUAAAGACAUGUGAUAAAACUUAAGAUCAGGUUUUCAAAACAACCAAAACUGUUCGGUUUUACAUCGCUUGUUUUUUUUCUCCUUUGAAAUAUUUUUUUAGGCAGAGUUACUUCUCCUUAAGUUAAUUCCCUUGAAGAGAAACCAAGCCCUUUUUUUUUCUAAAAUUGUCCUCAGAAUUUAACUAAACUCUGGCUGCAAGUUUUUUUUUUUUAUGUCUGUUGUUUGCCUUAUCUAUGUUCUGUCAUUGUACUUGCUAAAUUUAAAAACAAGAAAAAAAAUUUAAGAAUUUUUGAAAGCUCUUAAUUUAUAAUAGGCAACCAACAGUGGUUGAAAGAGGAAAAAAAAUAUCAAUUAACUUUCCCUGUUUUACAAAACAUUGUCAUGGCAUCUUGCCAAAGGUGGAACACUGAGGCUGUAAAAAUAGAAUAUUUUUGCCAGUAGUUUAGGUAGUCAAAGGAGUAUUGAAUGAAAUGUAUGUUGUUUACAUAUAUGCAGAAAAAAGCCUGUAAAAAUAGAAUCUGUUGUCAGUGUUUGAGCUAGUCAAAAGAGUAUUGAAUAAAAUGUUCUCAGGUUUUUCUCAAGUUUGUGACACAUGCAUUUAUAAAUAAACAGACAUGAUAAAAGU